UACGAAGGGGGCUAGCGUUGUUCGGAAUCACUGGGCGUAAAGGGCGCGUAGGCGGCUUUAUAAGUCGGGGGUGAAAGCCUGUGGCUCAACCACAGAAUUGCCUUCGAUACUGUAGAGCUUGAGACCGGAAGAGGUAAGUGGAACUGCGAGUGUAGAGGUGAAAUUCGUAGAUAUCGGGAGGAACACCUGUGGCGAAGGCGGCCGCCUGGACGACAACUGACGCUGAAACGCGAAAGCGUGGGUAGCAAACAGG
rnacentral:rRNA from 1 species